CUAAAAAUAAAUAAAUAAAAUAUUUUUUAAAAAAUAAAUUUGUGUCAUUUUAAGUCACUUAACAAAAAUUCUUCAUAAUGAAGUACAAGUAUACAGUUUUAGUUUUGCAAAGUGAAGAGCUCUGGAGAUGGAUGGUGGUGAUCACCGCAUAACAAUGGGUAUGUAAUCUGUGAAAAGGGGGGUUCUAGGACAGUGACCUGACAGGGGAAUCUGAUCAUAAAUUUCUACCUGGGAAGGUCAUUUCUACCUGGGAGGUCACAACCAAGGCCUCUGUCUUCUUUAGUAAGAGGUUUUUAAGCAAGCCCUGUCUGUUGUUCUUGUGUCUCUAGGUUAAUACACCUUUGAAAUACCAGAAGUAAUACCCCUUGAAGAGUAUUAACCCUCAAGAAAAUUAACAUAAUCUUGUUAACUAUCCCAUGAUCCAAUCCCUGCCUCACUUUCUCCCCACCUCCACAUAAUCUUCCUUACAUUCCCUCCUUAAUUUUAAAUGCACAAAAGAAGCUGCAAAACAGUUAUUCUCUGGAGAUUUUGAGAUCUUGCUCCUCAGCAUAUGUUGUCAGUUUGGUUGAAACAAACUCUUACAACAAUUCUCUACAGGUUUGGAUGCUACUUACAUCGACAAAUUAAUGCCGCUGAACAUGGUUAAGAGGGUAAAUUUUGCCAUGGGUAUUUUACCACAAAAAAAAAAAAAA